rnacentral:rRNA from 1 species
AACGAACGCUGGCGGCAUGCCUAACACAUGCAAGUCGAACGAGACCUUCGGGUCUAGUGGCGCACGGGUGCGUAACGCGUGGGAACCUUCCCUUAGGUUCGGAAUAACUCCCCGAAAGGGGUGCUAAUACCGGAUAAUGUCUUCGGACCAAAGAUUUAUCGCCUUUGGAUGGGCCCGCGUUGGAUUAGCUAGUUGGUAGGGUAAAAGCAUACCAAGGCGACGAUCCAUAGCUGGUCUGAGAGGAUGAUCAGCCACACUGGGACUGAGACACGGCCCAGACUCCUACGGGAGGCAGCAGUGGGGAAUAUUGGACAAUGGGCGAAAGCAUGAUCCAGCAAUGCCGCGUGAGUGAUGAAGGCCUUAGGGUUGUAAAGCUCUUUUACCCGGGAUGAUAAUGACAGUACCGGGAGAAUAAGCUCCGGCUAACUCCGUG